CAAUGACAAUGAAAAAACAGCCCCUGACAUUUGAAAAAUGACCAGGUUAGAUGAAUUUUCUUCAUAUUUAGCCUGCCGUCUAUCAACUGCCACAAAGACUUAUUUCCCUGGAGAACCCAGAGCCCUGACUAGCAUAGUAGGGUUUUGGUGAUUUCAAGAGAUAGCAAUGAAGCUGGAGUGGACUGGUCCAGAGUCAGCGAAAGGAGAGAGAAAUGGAAGAUGAUGUCAGCAUUUUUAACUUUGACUCAGGAGAUUUUUAUUCAUAUGGUGAAGGGAAAAAAGCCUGGAGGAAAACGGAGAUCGUGCAAGGUGAAAGGGUUUCUGAGUGGAGAAUUGAAGCCGCAAACUGCACAUCUCAUCAUCUCUUUAAGACUACAGUGCACUGCUUUGUUGCUCCUUGGAUUCCUGUGAUCUUUGCUUCCAUUUUGCAGAGACCUAACUUGUCCUGGAUUGGUAGAUGAAAUUGGCAUGUUUCUUUCUAGAAUUUAACUAAAUAUCCUUAGAUUUAAGUACAUUUCCUUAUAAAUGGCUUAAAAGAAAAUGAUGUUCUACCUAUGCUAAAUCAACUUCAUCUUCACAUAUGUUUUCUCCACACGAAAAGGAAAUUGUUUCAAAAUCAAUAGAAUCCUAAUUUCACACUAUCCAUAGUUUACCUUGGCAUUUUAAUUAGGAAACACAGUCUUUUCAGCUCCUCUCUGAAAUCACGUUUCUUUUUUUUUUUCUCAUG
ensembl:lncRNA